CAUGUGCUCCGUCCCAAAAUUCUUGUCUUUGAUUUGUCUAUAAAUGGAUGUAUCUAAAUAUUAAUACAUGACUAGAUACAUUCAUAUAUAGACAAAUUAAAGACAAGAAUUUUGGGACGCAUGAAAUAGAAA
rnacentral:pre_miRNA from 1 species